AUUGAACGCUGGCGGCAGGCCUAACACAUGCAAGUCGAACGAGUGGCGGACGGGUGAGUAAUGUCUGGGAAACUGCCUGAUGGAGGGGGAUAACUACUGGAAACGGUAGCUAAUACCGCAUACCAUCAGAUGUGCCCAGAUGGGCUUAGCUUGUUGGUGGGGUAACGGCUAACCAAGGAGACGAUCCAUAGCUGGGUUGAGAGGAUGACCGGUCACACUGGAACUGGUACACGGUCCAGACGCCUACGGGAGGCAGUAGUGGGGAGUAUUGCACAAUGGGAGCAAGCCUGAUGCAGCCAUGCCGCGUGUAUGAAGAAGGCCUUCGGGUUGUAAAGUACUUUCAGCGGGGAGGCGUUACCCGCAGAAGAAGCACCGGCUAACUCCGUGCCAGCCGCCGCGGUAAUUC
rnacentral:rRNA from 1 species